GGCGUGAUCAUCCCCAUUUUACACACAAAGAGGAAACUGUCUUUCUGAGAGUGAACCGACUUUCUCAGCGAUAUUCGUGAGUGAUGGAAUCGGGGUUCUAACCUGGUUUCACAUCUCCUCCGCUGGCAGUUCUUUUUGCUCUGCUGCUACAGUGGACUAAGGGCUUGGGAAACAACCAUGUGUCCUGGAGAUUCAUCAUUCACCAUCAUCACUAUUAUUGACCAUGACAAGCACUGCUGUCGCUCUCUAACACCAGCACCUCCUCCAGCUUGCCGAGCUCCAGCCAAAGGAGAAGGGGAGAGAGGGUAAGGAAGAGACAAAGAGAGGGAGAAGAACAUCAACGCGUGGUUGCCUCUUGCAUGCCCCCCA